rnacentral:rRNA from 1 species
AGCAUGAAGUCAAACAAGAGAACCCGCUGAAUUUAA